rnacentral:rRNA from 1 species
UACGGAGGGUGCAAGCGUUAUCCGGAUUUACUGGGUUUAAAGGGUGCGCAGGCGGAUAUGUAAGUCAGUGGUGAAAUCUUUGGGCUUAACCCGAAAAUUGCCAUUGAUACUAUAUAUCUUGAAUGCUGUGGAGGUAAGCGGAAUAUGUCAUGUAGCGGUGAAAUGCUUAGAGAUGACAUAGAACACCUAUUGCGAAGGCAGCUUACUACGCAGAUAUUGACGCCCAUGCACGAAAGCGUGGGGAUCAAACAGG